UACCAUACUCGGUGAGACUAGAAACGGGAGACUCACUAAAGUUUCUCUUGUGUGAUACACCUGGUUUGGAAGACUCUGCUGGACUUGAAGUUAACGAAUGUACCUACCUACUGGACGGAAACAUACCUGACUUCUAUCUAUUUAACAAGAAAUCACCGCUUACACCAAAAACGGAAGGCUUCAAAAAUGAACCGACAAUAAGAGAUAUAAUCCACUGCGUCGUUUUCGUGCUUGAUGCCACCACUCUGGAUGUUUUGUCUUCUGAUGUAUUAGAAAAAAUGAAGAAUUUCCAAACCUUGAUGAACGAAAGAGGAACUCCACAAAUGAUUUUACUGACGAAGAUAGACAAGCUAUGCAAAGACGUCCAGAACGACAUUUCGUUCACAUACAAAAGCUGGCUUAUUGAGGAGCACGUGGAGAAAGCUUCGCAACGUCUUGGUUUACGCCGCUCAAACGUACUUCCGGUCAAAAACUACGAGAAAGAAUGCGAACUUGAUCUGAACAUAAAUAUCCGUGCAUCAUUGGCGUUGCGUCAGAUUUUACGGUCGGCAGAGGACUUCAUGUACAAUCUUCUGGACCGGCAAAAGUUUGCAAAAAUGGAUAUACAGGAAUAAAAAAUGAAUACGUAACAUUUAACUUGUAAGUCUCUGACAGUUUGAAACGUAGAGAAGCAUGUUAUAUUCCAAUGUAUAUUUUGUGCAGUAAAACAAUACACACAACAAAAUGUGUAAUAUUCAAUUGGAAAAUAACUUCUUUGUCUAAACAUUGACACGUUUAAACAUUUGACAAUAUACGAUAAACGGCUUAUUUAAACCAUAACGUAAGUUUGUUUUUGUUAAUAUCAUGCCUUUUCUUGUAUUUGGUAAUAUGAACGUAUCAAUUGUAUAUUUCUAUGUUUUCUACAAUUAUAUAGCAUUAACUGUAGCUCGUCUAAUACUUCAGACAAGUACGUCAUACAAAAUGUUUGUCCAACAUUAUCAGGAAAACUUAGUUUCCUCCUACCGUGGACAAAUUUUAACUAUGUAGUUGUAAUCAUUUGUUAGCUAGUUUAUGCUCAUUUACUUUACAUUUUUCUUUUGAGUACAAUGUUUUACAGUAGCGUAUGAAUGUACACAUUUAUUCAUAAAUUACAGCUGCAGUACGAGAGUCAUCUUUCACCCCGGGGUGUAGGACGUUACUAUAAAAGUUGAAAUUACUAUCGAUACAUUGAAGCCUUAAUUAAUUCAAAUUUGAGUCAAAUUGAUACAAUUUCUAGAAAAAGCUUAGUAUAAAAAUGGUAUGAAAAAUGUCCAUGAAUUUGAUCAUUGAAUUUAUUCAGUGUUUGUGUUUAAGGUAGUUCGGCACGUUCUGAACAAAAGAAGUUUUUACAAUGUAGAAUUUCAUUAAACCCUGAUUUUUCAAAACUUCAGAGUUCACUUAAAAAUUCCGGCAAAUUAAAAAGAUCGGGACGUUUGAUCGAUUUUUUUUUUGUUAGACUAAUUUGAAAAAGUUUAACCUCACUCAAGUUUUCAUAAUUAUUAUGAUAGGAGUAUAUGGGAUCAUCACAAUUUUGAUAAUAUUUUCGCGAAUAGAUUUUUUUCUACGAUGAAGAUUUUAAUGAAACUUCUCACACUCGUAAAUAAACAUACGGCCUAUAAUAUGGUGAAAUCAAAUGUACAGGUCGGUUUGCUUGCGUUUGAGAUAUUUGCCCACGAUUAAAGAUUUGCGCGCAUUUCAAGCUAAUUUUAAAACAUUUUUCGGAAUUAUCUAACGUUUUAACAUCAUUUUUUAACUUUGGAUAAUAACGUUGCCGUUAUGAUAAAUGAGCUGCCAUAACUUCGUAAAAUGAGUUUCAUCUUUUUUAUCCAGGCUUUAUUCAACGUUUUCCAGAUAAAUAAUGUUACGCCAUUACUUCCGGUUUAUCAAACGUGCAGAACUACCUUAACGUAAAAACGUUUUUAGCAUUACCAUGACAUUGUGCAAACACAUAUGUAGCAUUUUCAAGACUUUGGACAUAUAUAUUUGAUUGAAAGUAUUUUGUAAAUACAGGAAUAAAGUUUUUCGGCUUAAACUUCGUUUGUUAUAAAUAGAUUUACUCACGGUGAUAAACCACCAUUGUUUCUGUGCAUUUAAUAAA
rnacentral:lncRNA from 1 species